AUGUCGCACGCCACGUUGGAGGUUGUGUGUUGGAAUGUUAGGGGGCUCAACAGCCCUGCUAAGAAAAAAGCACUUAGGGAGUUCAUUGACACGGUGCGUGUCGCGAUAAUAUGUAUCCUGGAGUCUAAACUCGAGAGAGUAGACCAAUUCACUAUAUUGCAAUGCUUAGGGCCAUCAUAUGAUGGUUUCGUGUAUCUCCCUGCUUCGGAUACAAUAGGUGGUAUCAUUAUUGGGUGGGACUCCUCCAGAGUGAUGAUUUCGAACGUGGUUCUGGAUACUAACUUCCUCACCGGUUACGUGUCCCCCCUGGAGGGGCCCGUGUGGUGGCUUUCGGUGGUCUACGGGCCGCAGGAAGAUGAGCAGAAAAUCAAUUUCCUCGAGGAGCUUUCGGAGAGAAGGAUCAUUUGCCCGGGUCCAUGUCUUGUGAUUGGAGACUUUAACCUGAUUCUUAAUUUUUUUACAGCGGACAAGAAUAACAACCGGAUUGAUCGCUGGAUGAUGGGAAAAUUCAAGCGGUUUGUGGAUGAUAAUGGCAUUACGGAGUUUUUCUUGCAUGGACGGAAAUUCACUUGGAGCAAUGAACGCGAGGUUCCCACGCUGACGAAAAUUGAUAGAGCUUUUGUAUCGGUGGACUGGGAGCUAGAUCACCCUGAUUGCUUGCUGCAAGCCCUAUCUACCUCGACAUCGGACCACUGCCUCUAUACCUAUCGCUAG
rnacentral:rRNA from 1 species